GACGAACGCUGGCGGCGUGCUUAACACAUGCAAGUCGAGCGGUAAGGCCCCUUCGGGGGUACACGAGCGGCGAACGGGUGAGUAACACGUGAGCAAUCUGCCCAUCACAUCGGGAUAACUCCGGGAAACCGAAGCUAAUACCGAAUACGACCACCUCCGGCAUCGGAUGGUGGUGGAAAGUUCCGGCGGUGAUGGAUGAGCUCGCGGCCUAUCAGCUUGUUGGUGGGGUAACGGCCCACCAAGGCUUCGACGGGUAGCCGGCCUGAGAGGGUGACCGGCCACACUGGGACUGAGACACGGACCAGACUCCUACGGGAGGCAGCAGUGGGGAAUAUUGGACAAUGGGCGAAAGCCUGAUCCAGCAACGCCGCGUGAGGGAUGACGGCCUUCGGGUUGUAAACCUCUUUCAGCAGGGACGAAGCGCAAGUGACGGUACCUGCAGAAGAAGCACCGGCCAACUACGUG
rnacentral:rRNA from 1 species